UCCGUAGGUGAACCUGCGGAAGGAUCAUUACAGAGCGUGAAGACCUCGGCCCCUCCACAGCGCAAGCUGGUGCGAGGGACACAUGCCGGGGUCGACCCUCCCACCCGUGUCGACUCGUCUCCUGUUGCUUUGGCAGGCCGACUGCCUAGCGGUCCUCUGGCUCUCGGGCUGGAGUGCGCCUGCCAGAGACUAUUCAACUCGUGUUCUGGAUGAAGUCUGAGCAAUCAAGCAAUAAAAAUGAAUAAGUUAAAACUUUCAACAACGGAUCUCUUGGCUCUGGCAUCGAUGAAGAACGCAGCGAAAUGCGAUAAGUAAUGUGAAUUGCAGAAUUUAGUGAAUCAUCGAAUCUUUGAACGCACAUUGCGCCCCUGGGUACUCCUAGGGGCAUGCCUGUUCGAGCGUCAUAACAACCCGUCGAGCCGACUAGGCUUGGUCUUGGGGCUCGCCCGCAUUUGGCGCGGCGGCUCUUAAACGCAGUGGCGGUGCCGGUGGUGCUUUCCGCGUAGUCACAUUUCUCGCGCGAGGGCAGAAUCCGGACCCAGCCAGCAACCACAAAGUCCGCAGCGCUCUGCGCGGCGACUUUUGUACUUCUUCUGGUUGACCUCGAAUCAGGUAGGGAUACCCGCUGAACUUAAGCAUAUCAAUAAGCGGAGGA
rnacentral:rRNA from 1 species